rnacentral:lncRNA from 10 species
GAUCCAGCCCUUUAUGUCAGAAUAAAACCAUGCCAGACCCUUCUAAACUGCCCUAAUGUUCCGGUGCUGGGUUUCAGCAUCCAAUCAUUCCAUGUGCUCAGGGCUGGGGUUUGGCUGGGCACGGACCUCCUCUGUCUGAUGAUUGUUUCUGGUGUGCUCUCAUUGGUUCCACUUUUCUGCCCCUGCCUGGCUGGUGGGGUCCCACGAGGCUGGGCAGCUGCACUCUCUCCCCCAAGCUGAGACUGGGCACCAAAGGAGGGUGGAGGGUCUCUGCAGGAGGCUACCUGUGCCUGCCAUGGCUCCGAGCAUCCUCACCCCCCCAUCCUGGAUGGUGGCAUCCAGGGCCCACUGCCCCCAGACCAGGCCUGCACUUCACCCCCACAUCCUGACACUCCAAGUCUUCAUGUGCUCCCGGCUCCCAGGCCUUGGCACAGCCUGUUCCCUGCACCUGGAAUGCCUUUCCCAGAUCUUCUCCAUCUGGAGAAUCCUGCUCAUCCCCCAGGCCCAAGGAUGGAGGGACGGGGGGAAUUAAUAUAUUUUAACCUGACUGUGCCAAGGACCGUGCUGGGAGGUGAGUGCCCUCCGUGAAUCCCAACACAGCCCUGCACCAAUCACACAGAGGGGGCUUCAUAAGCCCAUUUCACAGAUAGAGAAACUGAGGCUCUGAGGCAUUGAGUAAUUUGCCCAAAUUCAUCCCAUGGUCGGUGGCAGGGCUGGGAUAACUCCGACCAGUCAGCUGACCAGCUGGCCCACAGACCAGCCUUGUCUGUCCACUCCUGGCUCUGGGUGUUCUCUCAGCCCCUGAGAAGGGGCAUCAUCCCUUCCUUCAUGCCCGCCCAGGAUGCGGAGCCUCCUUCUUCCUCCUUUCAUCUAGUUCUUCCCAUCCUCCUCUGUCCCUCACUGGUCCCCUCUGGAGGGAGGUGCCCCUCCCUGGCCUCCAGGCUCCAGCCUGAGCAGUCUGCUCCAGCCUUGGUGAACAGAGGUGGCUGCAAUGGGCUGACGCAGCUGCUGUGUCCAUGGCCAGUGUCCAGGCUCUGCCCCGGAGAAGGACAGGCCCCUCCAGCCCAAGGAUAAGCUGGCUCCUGUGUUUGUCAGAAGAAACUUGGCUUCCUCAACAGUGUCAGCUCCAUGCUUCUCCUGAUUGUUC